ACACAUACAGAAAAGGAAACAGAAGGAAAAUGGGAAAAGAAAGAAAGGAAAAAGAGAGAAGGGGGAAUCGGGGAAGAGGAAGGGAAGGAAAGGGAGAAGAGCGUGCCGUCACUGCACCCUGCCCGCCUGCCGCCACCGUUCCAUGGAGCCGCCGCCAUUGUCGCGCGAACCGGAGGGUGUGGAGAUGGAGAAGAGUGUGCGCGAGAGAGGAGUAGACACCAUCGUUGAGGACUCCAUCACCGCCGCUGAAGGUCUUGACCGUCGAGCUUGUCGUCGCCGUCGCACCUCCCAUCACUGCUGCCACUAAAGAGCUCGAAGAGAAAGAAAGGGUUCGCACGGAGAGAGAAACACGAUGAGAGAGGAGGAGGUUGCCUCUGUUGCUGCCAAGCCGUCGCUGGCGGGGUUGGGUUCGCCGUCGCUGUUGAGCUGUGCGCCGCCGUUAGUAUUUGGAUCGCCACUCUGUUUCAGCUGCAGCUCGCCACUGUACUGGUGAGCUUUACCCUGUUUCUGAUAUCUCUUUGCUCGCCUAAGUUAUCCCGUUGUUGCUGUGAGGGUUAUUGUUAAAGUGUUUAUGUUAACUGAAGCUGUUUCUGUGAGUUACUUUGCUGUCGCCUAAUAUUGAUUUUAAUGUUGAUUUGGUAUAAUGUUGUUCUGAUGUUGAUUUGGUAACUGGUAAUUUGGAAAUGCUGUCGUGAUUUUAUUUUGAUUUUAAUAUUGAUUUAGUAUGUAACUGGUUCUCUGGCAAUGCUGCUUUGAUUUUGUUUUGAUUUUAAUAUUAAAUUGUUAUAAUACUGUUAUGAUUUUGAUUUGCUAACUAGAUCUCUGAAAGAACUUAUAAGUGGUAUCGAAUUAACCAUGAAAAUUUUGUAGCCAUUAGACAUGGAUGUACGUAUAGAUCUCUUAGUUAAAGCUUACUUGUGUAUAUAAGGUAAGAUUGGGCUUUCUCAACCCAAGUGCUGCAUAUAGGAUUGCAUUAACUUUAAUACUUUCUAGCAUUUGUGUAGUUUUGAUUAAAUUAUCAAAGUUUGGUAUUUGCUUUACUCUGAUUGCUUUCUUGUAUUCUUGAUUAUUUUGUAAAGAUUCUUGAAAUGGACACCUAUAGAUACCACGGGCACUCUAUGUCUGAUCCUGGCAGCACAUACCGUACAUGUGACGAGAUUUCCAAUGAGAGACAAGACAUUGAUGAAAGAGUAUGAAAGGGCUGCGCUUCAUCUUGAUAAAGUUAAGCUGGUUUGUAGUUUACUCUUAAAAGCUUUUUACUGCUGUUUGAAACCAAAUGCACAAUUCUUUUUAAGGAUAUCAUUUAGCUUUUUCUAGUUAUUUGAUUUUAGCUUAACUGAUUACAAAGGAAUUACUUUGAGAAUUUUUUGACUGUGCUAUUGUUUCAAACUUCAAAUUAGAGCAGGUAUUGUUAUGAUACUUCCAAGUACAUAGUAAAGGUUAUAAAUUAGAAACAUUUACUUGAUAAUUUAAUAGUCAAUCAUGUUAAAUCUUUCAUGUAGAUAUAUGGCAUUUUGAUAUGGAUUUGCGUGUACUGAUAGGUCUUACAGAGAUUAAUUGAUGUUCAAAAAGCAAAGGCCUGUGCAUCAAAAGAUGACCCUUUGGAGUUAUGCUCACCUGUGACAAAAGUUACUCUUGUAGCUGAGGUGAUGCUUUCUCUGCUCUAGUCAAAUGUUGAUGGCUACAUGAAAAUAAGAUACAUGAAUAUAGCAUGUUAACAAAAAAAUCCAGUUAUUUUAUCCCCAAAAACAAAAUGCAGUUGGUAUUGAUGGUUCACUUUAUUUUAUUUUGGAUAUUUUAUACAUUUCCUACCAUUAUGAUUUGCAACUUGGUCUGUGCGAUGGUUCGCUUUAGUUUGCCUAUGUCUUUGGUAUGAACUACAGUGGCUAUAGAAUUCCUAUGUACCUAAUCAUCUUGAUGUGAUAUUAAAACCAUUAUGUACUCCCAAGUCUCCAACAUCUCUUUCAAUUCAUGGAAACAGGGUUGGGUUAGGUUAGGUAUGUUAAAUCCUGUCAUUUGCAAUUGAGAACAAAACAGGUAGACCUUGUUUGUCAUUAGUUACUUUGUUGAUUGAUUUUUUCUCUUUAAUGAGAUUUUGUUCUAAGCAAUGUUUGGAGAAAAUAGUUAUGUGUCGUCAUUGGUUACUGCUCUGUAAUCCAUUGCUGUUCCGUGCUCUCCUCUCCACUUGCGUCCGCUACGAUGCCCCCCACUUGGUCUGCUGAGGUUUGGUUACGGGACAAAAUUUGUUUGAUGACUUGGCUGAGGACAUUCUCAGUGGCAGCAGACUUGGAAACAAAUUCUGCGACUCUUCUAAGAGCCAAGUCCUUAGGAGUUCCUCAAUAGAUAAAGAGAGAGCAAACGAUGUUGCUGAAGAUCAAAGUUGUGUUACAUGUUGAUUGAGAAUGCUACUUGCUGCAGCAGGUUCUUAGUCGGUAAUGGCUUAGCUAGUGUCAACGUGUAUAGAUUUUAAACUUUUAAGUUUUUUGAGUGUGCAAACAAUGAAUUAAUUGAUUCUAAUUUGGAUUUGAAUUUAGUUUGGUGCAUUUUAAGUUGUAAAAUGAUGCAAAGCAAUGAAUAUUACUUUUCUUUAUUAUGUAUAUUUUUCUUUAAUCAAACUUCAGUGACA